UACGUAGGUGACAAGCGUUGUCCGGAUUUACUGGGCGUAAAGAGCGCGCAGGCGGUCGUUCAAGUCGAGUGUGAAAGCCCCCCGGCUCAACUGGGGAGGGUCAUUCGAUACUGAUCGACUCGAAGGCAGGAGAGGGUAGUGGGAAUUCCCGGUGUAGUGGUGAAAUGCGUAGAGAUCGGGCAGGAACACCCAGGGGGGAAACCCAGCCGACUGGGCAAGUGCUGACGCUGAGGUGCGAGAGCGUGGGGAGCGAACCGG
rnacentral:rRNA from 1 species